CCGCAUCUGAACUGGCUGACACAGAGGGCACAGCAUGAUCAUAGGAUGUCCACUUCCACUGGGGGCUGCAGUGAGACAAAGCUACUGGGAUCUCCUAUAGGACCUACGGUCUUCUGACAGACACCUGCUACAGUACCAGGGAGAACCAUGGCACCACGGUCCUCGGCUCUACCUCUAUUCAUCUAGAUUCUACACUAGAGUGUGGUUCAUGCUCAUACUGCAGUGGAACAUGAUGCCCAGUAAUACUGCAUGACCAAUCUAAUCAUAUUGAAAAUAGUUUGUUUCAGUUCAAGUUUCAUUCUACUGUACCAGUGUUCAUUAUAUGCAGUUGCUAAAAUGUAUAUGGUUCGCCUUGACAAGAUGCAAGCAAUGAUUAUUACAUUGUUAUUCACAAAGAUGAUUAUUGUUUCAAUGAAUAAAGAUGUCCAUAAAACAUGUUGGGAUUAAAAAGGUUUAAACUGUU